rnacentral:rRNA from 1 species
GAUGAACGCUGGCGGCGUGCCUAAUACAUGCAAGUCGAGCGAACAGAUGAGGAUCUUGCUCCUCUGACGUUAGCGGCGGACGGGUGAGUAACACGUGGAUAACCUACCUAUAAGACUGGGAUAACUUCGGGAAACCUGAUCUAAUACCGGAUAAUAUAUUGAACCGCAUGGUUCAAUAGUGAAAGACGGUUUUGCUGUCACUUAUAGAUGGAUCCGCGCCGCAUUAGCUAGUUGGUAAGGUAACGGCUUACCAAGGCAACGAUGCGUAGCCGACCUGAGAGGAUGAUCGGCCACACUGGAACUGAGACACGGUCCAGACUCCUACGGGAGGCAGCAGUAGGGAAUAUUCCGCAAUGGGCGAAAGCCUGACGGAGCAACGCCGCGUGAGUGAUGAAGGUCUUCGGAUCGUAAAACUCUGUUAUUAGGGAAGAACAAAUGUGUAAGUAACUAUGCACGUCUUGACGGUACCUAAUCAGAAAGCCACGGCUAACUACGUG